rnacentral:rRNA from 1 species
UACCAGCUCUCCGAGUUGUGGGGAUAUUUAUUGGGCCUAAAGCAUCCGUAGCCGGCUGAACAAGUCCCCUGUUAAAUCCAGCGACGAAUCGUUGGCCUGCGGGGGAUACUGCUCGGCUAGGGGGCGGGAGAGGCCGUCGGUAUUCUUGGGGUAGGGGUGAAAUCCUAUAAUCCCAGGAGGACCACCAGUGGCGAAGGCUGUCGGCUAGAACGCGCCCGACGGUGAGGGAUGAAAGCUGGGGGAGCGAACCGGAUUAGAUACCCGGGUAGUCCCAGCUGUAAACGAUGCAGGCUAGGUGUUAGGGCGGCUACGUGCCGCUCUAGUGCCGCAGGGAAGCUGUUAAGCCUACCGCCUGGGGAGUACGGCCGCAAGGCUGAAACUUAAAGGAAUUGGCGGGGGAGCACCACAAGGGGUGAAGCUUGCGGUUUAAUUGGAGUCAACGCCGGAAAUCUCACCGGGGGCGACAGCAGAAUGAAAGCCAGAUUAAAGGUCUUGCCAGACGAGCUGAGAGGAGGUGCAUGGCCGUCGCCAGUUCGUGCCGUGAGGUGUCCUGUUAAGUCAGGCAACGAUCGAGACCCGCAUCCCCCGUUGCUACCAGCCAUGAGCUGGGCACACUGGGGAGACCGCCGCCGAUAAGGCGGAGGAAGGAGCGGGCCACGGCAGGUCAGUAUGCCCCGAAUCUCCCGGGCCACACGCGAGCUGCAAUGGUAGGUACAAUGGGUUCCGACCUCGAAAGGGGGAGGAAAUCUCUAAAACCUGCCGUAGUUGGGAUCGAGGGUUGAAACCCACCCUCGUGAACAUGGAAUCCCUAGUAAUCGCGCGUCACUAGCGCGCGGUGAAUACGUCCCUGCUCCU